UACGAAUGGGGCAAGCGUUGUUCGGAAUAACUGGGCUUAAAGCGUGCGCAGGCGGUCUUGAAAGUCAGGAGUGAAAGCCUGGGGCUUAACCCCAGAAUUGCUCUUGAAACUCCAAGACUAGAAUCCGGGAGAGGUUAGCAGAAUUCCGAGUGUAGAGGUGAAAUUCGCAGAUAUUCGGAGGAAUACCAGUGGCGAAGGCGGCUAACUGGACCGGUAUUGACGCUCAGGCACGAAAGCGUGGGGAGCAAACAGG
rnacentral:rRNA from 1 species